AGCAGUCGCGGUAAUUCCAGCUCCAAUAGCGUAUAUUAAAGUUGUUGCAGUUAAAAAGCUCGUAGUUGAAUUUCGGGAUCAAUUAAUUGGUCGUGCCUAUGGUACGUACUGAUUUUAUUGGUUUCUCCCUUCUGACGAACCAUGAUGUCAUUAAUUUGGUGUCAUGGAGAAUCAGGACUGUUACUUUGAAAAAAUUAGAGUGUUUAAAGCAGGCUAACGCUUGAAUACAUUAGCAUGGAAUAAUGAAAUAGGACGUUUGAUCCUAUUUUGUUGGUUUCUAGGAUCGACGUAAUGAUUAAUAGGGAUAGUUGGGGGCAUUAGUAUUCAAUUGUCAGAGGUGAAAUUCUUGGAUUUAUUGAAGACUAACUACUGCGAAAGCAUUUGCCAAGGAUGUUUUCAUUAAUCAAGAACGAAAGUUAGGGGAUCGAAGACGAUCAGAUACCGUCGUAGUCUUAACCAUAAACUAUGCCGACUAGGGAUCGGAUGAUGUUAAUUUUUUAAUGACUCAUUCGGCGCCUUA
rnacentral:rRNA from 1 species